UACGGAGGGUGCAAGCGUUAUCCGGAUUCACUGGGUUUAAAGGGUGCGUAGGAGGGUAGGUAAGUCAGUGGUGAAAUCUCCGGGCUCAACUCGGAAACUGCCGUUGAUACUAUCUAUCUUGAAUACCGUGGAGGUGAGCGGAAUAUGUCAUGUAGCGGUGAAAUGCUUAGAUAUGACAUAGAACACCGAUUGCGAAGGCAGCUCACUACACGAAUAUUGACUCUGAGGCACGAAAGCGUGGGGAUCAAACAGG
rnacentral:rRNA from 1 species